AUGGGGCACUGGAGGCUGAGGCUUGUGAAACGGAGGAAGCAAGAUGAAGGGCAGAGAGAAGGCUCCUGCAUAGCUGAGGAGAAUGCCAUGGACAUCAAGCAUGAGAACAGCAACUGCUUUGAGGAGUAUAAGUGGUGUGGGCAGAAGUAGAUACAGGCCACCACUGUCCUGGAAGGUGGCUUCCUAGGCUCUGAUGUUGUCAUGUGCAGUAGCAAGGAGAACCCAGACAGUGAUGCUGACCUGGAUGUGAAUGGAGAGGACACUCUGUAGUACCAGAAGUCACAAUACACAGAUGCUGACAUCCCCUGCAUGUAUGAGAAACCUAGCCCGAUGAAGCCAAGGAAAGAGAAGCACUCCAGGGUGCAGUCCUAAAGCAAGUGUGGGCCAGUGUGACCAUCCCACCACCUGUAACAUGCCUGAGUUUUCCAAGUGGGCUAGUGACAGGAUGCCAUCCACUAGUAAUGGCAAAAGCAGCAAACAGGAGGCCAUGCAAGAGACCUGUAAGGACAGGAACAUUGAGAAAAUCAUCAAAGAUUCCACUGUGACCACACUCAAGGUCCUGAAGGCUCAGAUCAGGGAGCUUGAAUGGCAGCUAUCUCAGGGGGACCAGUACAAAUGCCUCAUCUUCAGGGACUCGUACUCCAUGCCAAUCUGCCUGGAACUUUUCUUUAGGAAGAGAUUAAAUGAUUUUUCAUUUAAGUUUUUUUUCUAUUCUUCAGAGAGAGUUUAG